GUAAUUUGAAUUAUGUACAAACUUCCAAGUUCUUCCUCAAAGUUUCAAGGUCUCAUAGAGAAUUUUAUAUCCCCUCGGGUCUCGUGUACAUAGAUUACUUAACCAACAGACUCGAAAUCGAUGGCCGGGAUAAAUUCAUCGGAUUAUAAAAGUAUUGGCGGUAAAAGAACAAUAGCUCCGUGCUCUUUUGACCGACCGACCGUUUCCAAAGUUGCAUGCUCUGCUGGUUUCGCUUCUUGUUCCUCGAAGCUUCUCCUUUGUUGUGGACGUCCACGUGCACACAAUUCUUCACCUACAUCUCAAUUAGUCAGCCAAUACUUUUAUUUAUUUUAUAGGAGACCUUUUCUGUCACAUAAUAAAACCAAAAAAGAUUUCAUCAAUCUUAUCGUCGAAGAAAUUAUUAAGCUUUUCUAGUAAUAUUAU
rnacentral:lncRNA from 1 species